UUAUGUAAUAUGCCUCAGGCAGUGGCAGAAACCUAGGCUGAAAUAACCAGCACUACUUGCCAAACACUUUAGAAAGAUUAUGUUUCUUCUCCAUUACAGAAGUGGAACAUAUGGUUCAGAUUCUCCUCAUUAAACUACCUGCCCUCUGUAAUGUAGCUCUUCUGUGCUGCAGAAAUUGAUACUACACAAGAAAAGAAAUGAUGGGAGAAUAGUGAAGAAGAGAAGAACUGGCCAGGUAGCAACAUAUAAGAGGCCAAGGGCCGGGCGCAGUGGCUCACACCUGUAAUCCAAACACUUUGGGAGGCCAAGGCGGGCAGAUCACCUGAGGUUGGGAGUUUGAGACCAGCCUGACCAACAUGGGGAAACCCCAUCUCUACCAAAAAUACAAAAUUAGCCAGGCGUGGUGGUGCAUGCCUGUAAUCCCAGCUACUCAGGAGGUUGAGGCAGGAGAAUCACUUGAACCCAGGAGGCAGAGACUGCAGUGAGCCGAGAUUGCGCCAUUGCACUCCAGCCUGGGUAACAAGAGUGAAACUCCGUCUCAAAAAA
rnacentral:lncRNA from 1 species